GACAGAGGGUGCAAACGUUGCUCGGAAUCACUGGGCGUAAAGGGCGUGUAGGCGGGAAGGAAAGUCAGAUGUGAAAUCCCUGGGCUCAACCCAGGAACUGCAUUUGAAACUCCCUUUCUUGAGUGUCGGAGAGGAAAGCGGAAUUCCUGGUGUAGAGGUGAAAUUCGUAGAUAUCAGGAGGAACACCGGUGGCGAAGGCGGCAUUCUGGACCGAUAUUGA
rnacentral:rRNA from 1 species